UACGUAGGGACCGAGCGUUGUCCGGAUUCAUUGGGCGUAAAGAGCUCGUAGGCGGCCACUCAAGUCGAAUGUGAAACCUCGAGGCUUAACCUCGAGCCUGCAUUCGAUACUGGGCGGCUAGAGUCUGGUAGGGGGAUCUGGAAUUCCUGGUGUAGCGGUGGAAUGCGCAGAUAUCAGGAGGAACCCCGGUGGCGAAGGCGGGAUCCUGGGCCAGUACUGACGCUGAGGAGCGAAAGCGUGGGGAGCAAACAGG
rnacentral:rRNA from 1 species